rnacentral:rRNA from 1 species
UACGAAGGGUGCAAGCGUUACUCGGAAUUACUGGGCGUAAAGCGUGCGUAGGUGGUUUGUUAAGUCUGUUGUGAAAGCCCCGGGCUCAACCUGGGAACUGCGUUUGAUACGGAUGGGCUAGAGUUCGGGAGAGGAGAGUGGAAUUCCCAGUGUAGAGGUGAAAUUCGUAGAUAUUGGGAAGAACACCGGUGGCGAAGGCGGCUCUCUGGACCGAGACUGACGCUGAGGCGCGAAAGCGUGGGGAGCAAACAGG